rnacentral:rRNA from 1 species
UAGAUACCCCUGUAGUCCACGCCGUAAACGAUGGAUGCUAGGCAUUGGCAGUAUCGACCCUGUCAGUGUCGUUCACCUAAGGUAACCCCUUAAGCAUCCCGCCUG